UACGUAGGGUGCAAGCGUUAAUCGGAAUUACUGGGCGUAAAGCGUGCGCAGGCGGUUUUGUAAGUCUGUCGUGAAAUCCCCGGGCUCAACCUGGGAAUUGCGAUGGAGACUGCAAGGCUAGAAUCUGGCAGAGGGGGGUAGAAUUCCACAUGUAGCAGUGAAAUGCGUAGAGAUGUGGAGGAACACCGAUGGCGAAGGCAGCCCCCUGGGUCAAGAUUGACGCUCAUGCACGAAAGCGUGGGGAGCAAACAGG
rnacentral:rRNA from 1 species